rnacentral:rRNA from 1 species
UAGGGAAUCUUCCGCAAUGGGCGAAAGCCUGACGGAGCAACGCCGCGUGAGUGAUGAAGGUCUUCGGAUCGUAAAACUCUGUUAUUAGGGAAGAACAAAUGUGUAAGUAACUAUGCACGUCUUGACGGUACCUAAUCAGAAAGCCACGGCUAACUACGUUCCAGCAGCCGCGGUAAUACGUAGGUGGCAAGCGUUAUCCGGAAUUAUUGGGCGUAAAGCGCGCGUAGGCGGUUUUUUAAGUCUGAUGUGAAAGCCCACGGCUCAACCGUGGAGGGUCAUUGGAAACUGGAAAACUUGAGUGCAGAAGAGGAAAGUGGAAUUCCAUGUAUAGCGGUAAAAUGCGAAGAGAUAUGGAGGAACACCAGUGGCGAAGGCGACUUUCUGGUCUGUAACUGACGCUGAUGUGCGAAAGCGUGGGGAUCAAACAGG